GUUUUUCCCGACCCCACCUCCCCGUCCCCAGCUCGCAUCGCAAUAGAUUGUGCCCCCAUCCACGAUCCUCCGACCCGUACUCCCGCCGGCGAAACAGAUCGUGCCUCCAUCCGUCCUCCCGCCGGCGAUCCUCCGGUGAUGCGCCGGGCGCCGCCCUCCCCCAUGCCUUCCUCCUUCGCCGGCUCUCGUCCUGCCCUGCAACACCCUGUGCCGCCGGACCUUGCGACACCCUGCGCCGCCGGCUGCUAUCGGCGGGCUUCCCGUCAGUGACCCUCGAGCCACCCCCGCAAAGGGCUGCGCGGCCGGCCCCCCUCCCAACCCGGCGAGUGGUCCCCAAUCUCGCGAUUCGGGCCCUCCCCGGUGACCCUCUGGUGAGGCGCGGUCCUGUCGCACCCCCCCCUCCCCUCUCGCCGUCCGGCGAGGUCCUACGCCGCCGGCUACCUGCAGCCUCUGGACGUCAGCGCGUCGUCCGCUCUCCUGUGAGGUUCUCCCGUCGCGAGACCGAUCCGUGCCUCCGUCGCCAUCGCCGUCGCCGUCGCCCAACAGAUCUUCCACUGGCCUGCGGAGCUCCCUCAGCACGCCGCCGCCGUUCCGACCAGAUCCUCCCCCGGCCUGCGGAGCUUCAUCAGCACGCCAUCCAUCAGCGGCGUCACAUCCUUCGUCACCAGGCAGACUCAUCGAUCUACCACCGCCCGCCAGGCACCAUGACCCGCGCACAGACAGACAUCUCCAGGAGUCCAGGUAAGUCUCUGAUUUCCCUGUUUCCAGCCUCUGUGUCAUCCCCACAUUGCCUGAAAAUAAAUGCACCCGCUCACACGAUGGCUCACCCCGGAUCCAUAGCGGUCUCAUUCCGGCAACACCCAGCGAGCGCACAUCACGCCGUGGCAGAUUCGUCGCCCCCGCAUAGCACGAACGGUGGUCGAGCAGAGCUCCCCCUGUGGACCACGAUGUAGACUGCGAGCACGAGAGAUGAGUGACGGGGAAGGCAAUAUGGACGGACCUGGCACGGCCCUGAGUUGCGCGGCCAAAUGCUUCCUCAGGCGUCAGGCCCCUGCAUCCCAGGAGUGGCUCAUCCGCCUACCUGAUUAAGCAGCCUCUCCUUCGAGAGAUGCAAGUUCAGGUGUUCAGUGUUUUGUCUACCCAUUAACCUCCCUUGUUGCCGCAGGCAACGGAAGGGGCUGUGGCCCAGCAUGGAGGAUGCGAGCGAGCCACAGGAGCAACGGCUGACGCACUGAUUACUUAUAUUCUAGGAAUGCAGAUGUUCGCCAGUGCGACUGUUGUGAUCUGCCAUUCCCUCUUCACCAACGAUUUCACAAAGGUUGGUACAAUUUGUAGCGGAAACUAAUUUCGCGCUUGAACCAGAUGGGAGUAUGACUAUAAGUUUGCUUCAUUUGGUAAAACUUUUCUUCAGUUAUGCUCAUUUCUGCAGUCUGGAAAAAUUACUGAUCCCUUGACCUUGAUGCAUCAAGCAGUUUUUUUUCUUUUUUUUACAUGCAUCAAGCAGUUUGGUGGCAUUCUCUAGUUCUUGUGCCUGGCAGUGCCAUUGAUGAGAUAUUUGCCUUCCAAUCUUCUCAAUACUAAGUGCAUGCAUCUGAAUUUCUUUGCAAAUUUUAUGGACUCACUGUGUAUAGAACACUACUGCAUUUGCAUUUGCAUGUACAUGUCUAUCUCAGUAUCUCUGUGUACAAAUUUAGUGUCAUUUCUCGAGACAGAUUCUGUCAAUUAAUAGCCAAUUAAUAGAUCAUGAGACUGUGUAGCGAAUUAGAGAUUUUGUAUUUUUUGUGUUUUAGUAGUUACUAAUUAUCCAAUUAGUUAAUCAUGUAAAGGAUAGUCAAACCUGCUUAUCGAUUAUUUCAUAUAUAUAUAUAUAUAUAUGAUGUGUCUAAAGCGCACAUCUAAUUCCAGAUGAUGCUAGCUUACUGAAAUUGGUGGUUGAGUUCAUUAAUAAAUGUGUGGUGCAGCUGUUCUAAUACUGCCCAUUAUUCUAGUCUGCAUUCCUAGUUGCAAAUUUAUCUGUCAAUUACUCAAUUUGACAAGUAUUUCUAUUCAAUAUAGUAUAUAUGGAAACCUGCAUUGAAUUGAACAUUAAGAUAUAUUGAUGUCCAUGAAAUGUUCUACAAUGAGUAUACUUUUAACCAUUAAAUAUGUUGGAUGAAAUUCUUUUGGAUCAAAUCCUCUUUGAUAUUUCCUGUCACUUUUUGACAUUGUGGCAGAAUUGCCCGUUAUCAUCAGUUUUUGCUAUGCUUUGCGUGAAUGGUAACUUCGAUGCAGUCAUAUGGCCACUUGAUUUUAUAUGUUUUUCCUUUAAGAUUUAUAUGGAUGCAGAGGUGCUGCUGCAUUUUACAUUGAAAUACUCAUGCUUAAUAAUGGAGGAUAAUAGAAAGCAUGCCAGCAAGCUAAUGACAGCUCGUCGUCAUCUUCCUCUACAUCCCGCUUGGGUAAUAAGUCGAGCUAUCUAUGUUGCGCUCCUUUGGCCCAGCGCUAUGGGAACUUGGAUUUCGUGAUGCACUGUUGAGUGCCCGAAUUUCACAGAAGGGUUCUUUGUAUUGAGCUUGUCCUGCCAGUGUAUUAAAUAUGAGAUGGCAGUCACAAAAUCAUUGUAUUUCUAGAACCAAUAUGCUUGUAUUUAACACCAUGAUUGAGAUGUACACCUUGUGUCAUAAGAUCUUUGUAUUUAAACUAUAAAGUGCUUAAUGUUUUUAAACUAGGGUCAAUAUGAACGGGCUUUCAUAAAA